GUCAUUUUCGUCAUUUUACGCUCGUCAAGGCUGAAGGCGCUGCGGUAGCGUCCACGGUUUAGGGGAAAGCGUCUCGUUCACCCAAACACACACUCUGAGUGUAAGAUGUGGAAGAACUUUGUGCGCUUUCUACACUUUUUUUUUUUCUUCCAGUGUCGUGUCCUCCUUUUUUAUUACGGGGCUUUAGAGCUGACGUGGCACCAAAGGCCAACCUGUGGCCCUUGGCCUUCAAAGCCUGGACUUACCGUGCGCCGGGCGGGGGAUGUGGAACUCCGCAGAAGCAGGACAUGGUCUCUAUGGCAACGGCAGCCAAAACAGCAGUCAACACAUCACGGCGAGCGGCCCUAAGAUGGGCCACGAUGGGGAAAGGCUGCUGGCGAACACGAACUAAUACUAGCCGUCCCGGGUCGAAGAGCGCAGCUCUGUCCGAAGAUGCUUAUGAAAGAGAGAAACGGCGAGUCGCACGGACCUGAUAGUUGAGAACACAAUUUUCUCUUUGGCAGAGUGCAAAGAAGAUCUUUUUAUAUAGCGGAGAGCGAAAAACAGGAGGAGAAGAGUUCUUUCAGCAUAUUGUGGUAAUUCAAAUGAACUUCCUUAUAUGUUCAAGAAA